rnacentral:misc_RNA from 1 species
GAUGAAGAACGUAGCGAAAUGCGAUAAGUAGUGUGAAUUGCAGAAUUCAGUGAAUCAUCGAAUCUUUGAACGCACAUUGCGCCCCUUGGUAUCCCGAGGGGCAUGCCUGUUCGAGCGUCAUUUCACCACUCAAGCCUGGCCUGGUGUUGGGCGACGUCCCCUUUGGGGACGCGCCUCGAAACGCUCGGCGGCGUGGCACCGGCUUUAAGCGUAGCAGAAUCUUUCGCUUUGGAAGUCGGGGCCCCGUCUGCCGGAAGACCUACUCGCAAGGUUGACCUCGGAUCAGGCAGGGAUACCCGCUGAACUUAAGCAUAUCAAUAAGCGGAGGA